rnacentral:lncRNA from 1 species
UGUGGUCAUUUUUAUAAAUUUCCUGUUUACAAAACUUUGAAUUUUUCGAAAAACUAAGGAUUUUCUUAUCCCAGGCAUAGAUUACCUUAGCCGUAUUUAGCACAACUUUUUGGAAUUUUGGAUCCUCAAUGCUCUUCAACUUUGUACUUGUUUGGCUUUAUAAAUAUUUUGAUAUGAGCGUCACUGAUGAGUCUUAUGUAGACGAAACGCGCGUCUGG